CCACCUCAAUCUGUUGGGGACAAAUAAAGUGUAUAUGGGCGUCGAUUCCCCCGGCGGUGAGAAUCAUCCCUUCCCCGGCGAUCGCCUCGGUUCCUGGACCGAUAAUAAUAUCAACAUCAUCUUGGAUAUAAGGAUUUCCUGCUUUACCAAUUUUAAAUAUUUUGCCAUCCCGGAUUCCCACAUCGGCUUUCACCACUCCCCACCAAUCCAGAAUCAGCGCAUUGGUAAUCACUAAAUCCACCGCCCCGCUAUCAUUGGCAAUGGGAGAUUGUCCCAUGCCAUCGCGGAUGA
rnacentral:sRNA from 1 species